GCUGGUGUGUGUUUGGCGAGAGUCUGAAAUGGCCCCGUGAUGUGGGGAGAACUACUGGAAGUUCCAUCCACCUCGCGGACUCGAUGACCCGGCCAUCCCACAUCCUGUUUGUCCAAGAUAGGGGGGAACUUGUGUUCAACGAGACUUUAUUUUAGGAAAGAAGGACAAGGAAGGAGGUGGACCAGCAGGAGAGACGCGGCAGAGGAACUGCUCCCCUGGACCCCUUGGCCACGAAGAGGCACAGCUUCUACCUCAUGGAGAAUCGAUGCAAAGUGGACUUACGGGGACGUAAGACCGUGGGCCUCAACGCAAAGGACAAAGUUAGUGUCUUUAAUCUGCGUUGGGGGAAUUCUCCAUCCCGCACUGGCUGAGCCCAGAGAAGACUGGAAAACGGAAAAAGUGUCGAAGUUCUUUCUACAUGUGCUGGCAAAGUUUGGAGGAUUGCUUGGUCUUGUGACAGGAUAUUUAUUAUGGGGUUUGGGGACGGGGGUGGCUUAGGAUGAGGUAAGUGCUUGUUUAUGCAGCAUUUAUCUCAUGCACAGUUUAACUAUGAAGACAAAUGUAUUAAUGCGUUUUUAAAAUGAAAAUUGAUGUUAAGACAUCCAUAAAGAAUUAAGCAUCAAAGCUAAAUAAAGACAAGAUGGGUAACA
rnacentral:lncRNA from 1 species